UGGGGAAUCUUCCGCAAUGGACGAAAGUCUGACGGAGCAACGCCGCGUGAGUGAUGACGGUUAUCGGAUUGUAAAGCUCUGUUAAUCGGGACGAAUGGUUUGUGUGCAAAUAGUGCAUAGACAUGACGGUACCGGAAUAGAAAGCCACGGCUAACUACGUGCCAGCAGCCGCGGUAAUACGUAGGUGGCAAGCGUUGUCCGGAAUUAUUGGGCGUAAAGCGCGCGCAGGCGGACUAGCCAGUCAGUCUUAAAAGUUCGGGGCUUAACCCCGUGAUGGGAUUGAAACUACUAGUCUAGAGUAUCGGAGAGGAAAGUGGAAUUCCUAGUGUAGCGGUGAAAUGCGUAGAUAUUAGGAAGAACACCAGUGGCGAAGGCGACUUUCUGGACGAACACUGACGCUGAGGCGCGAAAGCCAGGGGAGCGAACGGG
rnacentral:rRNA from 1 species